UCACCAUCCUAUUAAAGAGAGAAAGAAAGUCAGGGCACAGAGAAAAGGCAGUUUCUAUCAUUGUAUUUGGGGUGUAUCUCGGGCACACACCCUUGUCCUACACAUAGAUUGCUUCUAAAUACACUUACUCUUGAGAAAUUCAAAACUGUCCAUGCUCUGUGACUGGAUUAAACUAGAAAAUACCACAGUCCUAGGCAGAUAAACGUGCUCAUGGGAAAAUGGCCGGGACCCUGCACACUGUUGCCCAGGACCGCCCAAGUUCACACACCUUCGUGGGACUCUUAGGGAAUUAGAAGCUACCCUGGAAUCUUGUUUCUCUUUUGCCAAGUCUCCUCUAAAACAAAUGACCCAGGUCUGCAAAUGGGGGGAGAAGGAAGAGAGGAGUGGGGAGGAUGGGGACAAAUGACAACUGGAACAGUGAGACCAUGAAUACUUGCUGAAUUUGAAUCUUUCUCUUCAAAUAAGCCUCUUCCUUUUGGCCCCCAUCAACAUAGGCUCCAGACAAAUGUACCCUUUCACCACAGGGGAGGCUUCCUCGAAUGAACACAGUGGCCCGACUAGAGGAAACACAGGCAGCAAGGCUCUCUAACCCUGCCUGCCUCCCUGGACAAGGCUAGCCUGCCUUUGCCCAUUUGCUCUCAGCUCUACCGAAACUUCGGAAACAGCCGAUGUUAGAUGCCUUCCGCUGAACACACUGACCUGCCUGGACAGCUUUCGUGAGCUGUUGUCCACCUCAAAGGCGGCAGCAUGUGUAAAACCCGUUUCCAUCACACUUCCCUCUGACUUCAACUCUAGCACACACUGAAAAGGCAAACCUAGAGACUCCACUUGCUCCAGUUCAGUGGCUCUAGGCUGCCCCUUGCACACUGGAGUGCAGAAAACAUCUCACACUCGGCGCUGCUCCUGAAAGACCUCAGGUUCUUUGCUACCUUUUCGGCUCUCCCCAUGUCGCUUCUGCCUCAGCCCACAAGCCCUAACUUCAGCCCUGUAAACAGCCCCUGGCUCUUCUCCCCCUUCAGGGCUUGGCUUGUAAGCUUUCCAAGGCAGGCUUAUCUCAUCUAACCAAGGCUGGCUAGGGCUCCUUCUGCACACCACAGCACUUACCGUACUACACAACUGCUAUUUACUGGUGUUUGUAGACCACACCUAGAGACCCAGUGUCCUGAGGAACUCUGUCCGUCUCAGGUACUGCUUCGUCAUGGCCUGACUUAAUAUACCAAGGUUUAAGGCACUUA